rnacentral:rRNA from 1 species
AUUGAACGCUGGCGGCAGGCUUAACACAUGCAAGUCGAGCGGGGGAAGGUAGCUUGCUACCGGACCUAGCGGCGGACGGGUGAGUAAUGCUUAGGAAUCUGCCUAUUAGUGGGGGACAACAUCUCGAAAGGGAUGCUAAUACCGCAUACGUCCUACGGGAGAAAGCAGGGGAUCUUCGGACCUUGCGCUAAUAGAUGAGCCUAAGUCGGAUUAGCUAGUUGGUGGGGUAAAGGCCUACCAAGGCGACGAUCUGUAGCGGGUCUGAGAGGAUGAUCCGCCACACUGGGACUGAGACACGGCCCAGACUCCUACGGGAGGCAGCAGUGGGGAAUAUUGGACAAUGGGGGGAACCCUGAUCCAGCCAUGCCGCGUGUGUGAAGAAGGCCUUAUGGUUGUAAAGCACUUUAAGCGAGGAGGAGGCUACUUUAGUUAAUACCUAGAGAUAGUGGACGUUACUCGCAGAAUAAGCACCGGCUAACUCUGUGCCAGCAGCCGCGGUAAUACAGAGGGUGCGAGCGUUAAUCGGAUUUACUGGGCGUAAAGCGUGCGUAGGCGGCUUAUUAAGUCGGAUGUGAAAUCCCCGAGCUUAACUUGGGAAUUGCA